rnacentral:rRNA from 1 species
AUUGAACGCUGGCGGCAGGCCUAACACAUGCAAGUCGAACGAGUGGCGGACGGGUGAGUAAUGUCUGGGAAACUGCCUGAUGGAGGGGGAUAACUACUGGAAACGGUCGCUAAUACCGCAUACCAUCGGAUGUGCCCCGAUGGGAUUCGCUAGUAGGUGGGGUAACGGCUCACCUAGGCGACGAUCCCUGGCUGGUCUGAGAGGAUGACCAGACACACUGGAACUGAGACACAGUCCAGACUCUUACGGGAGGCAGCAGUGGGGAAGAGUGCACAAUGGGCGCAAGCGUGAUGCAGCCAUGCGGCGUGGAGGAAGAAGGCCUUCGGGUUGUAAAGUACUUUCAGCGGGGAGGCGUUACCCGCAGAAGUAGCACCGGCUAACUCCGUGCAAGCAGCCGCGGUAAUAC